GGAAGUUCUUCUUCCACUCUGCAGGCAGUAAAUGUGACACGAAACCACGCGGCUGAGCAACACCCUAAAACCCCCGGCAAAGCCGCUUAAAGCCGAGAGCAGCAGAGUCAGCCUUUGUAACCCGGACGCACCUCCAUACUGGCCUGCCUGAGGGGAGGACAGAGAGAUGAACGAGUGCAC